AGUGUAUUUCAUCCUGUGAGAAAUACACUCAAACACCAAUGGUUACAAAAACAAACAAAAUUUAGGUAUUACAUAUGUGAUACCUCAAGAAUUCCAUUCAUCUAACGGAAAAAAAAAAGUUUGAAUUUAAAUAUUGUUUGUGUAAAAGUUGAGACAAUGUCCUACAUGAUAUUAGGUGGAAAAUGGGUAAUGAAUAAUUUAUUUUCUUUUUGAUAAAUUUUAGGUUUUCAACUUGCACAAGCUUGUUUUCCUAAGAGCAUCCACAAGAAGAUCUCUCUCUUGAGGACAAUCCAUUCGUGCAUAUGCUGACGAUUCCUUUACCACUCUACAACGGGCGAACAACAAAAUAUGGGAUUAUCCUUGUUAAGAUCCUAUGAAGAACUUUUGUUGUGGAUGCUUUAACAACCCAC
rnacentral:lncRNA from 1 species